CCUGGGGUGGUGCAGUGCCCUGCAAAGGUUUAUCUCACCCCCUUCCCACUUCCCAGCUGCCACGAGCUGACAGCUUUCCUCUGCCAUGCCUUCUGCCAGGAUGUUUCUGCAAUGGAGUUGGCAGACCAUGAGCUGAGACCUCUGGAACUGUGAGUCAAAAUGAGUCUUUCCUCCUCUAAGUUGUUCUUGUCAUGUGUUUUGGUAACAUGAUGAAAAGCUGACUCAUUGUCAUAUAUACAUACCAUGGGAUUUUAUUCAAACUUAAAAGAAAGAAUAUAAGAUGUGUAAAUCAGUCAACUCAUAGAAGCAGAGAACAGAAAGUAAUUUGCCAGGAGCGCAGGGGUAAGUGGGAACAUGCUAUUCAAUAGGCAUAACGCUUCAGUUAUGCAAGAUGAACAGCACUGUGCCUUUAGUUAAAUUAGUAUAUUGUGUAUACAAAAUUCAUUAAAAGUUUUUUAUCACAAUUUUUAAAAACAAUUUUUAACCUUUUAUUUUGAUUAUUUAGUUUUUUGUUGUUGUUGUUUUGUUUUUAAUGUGGUGCUGAGGAGCAAACCCAGUGCCUCAUGUGUGCUAGGGAAGCGCUCUACCACUGAGCCACAAUCCCAGCCCUUUAUCACAAUUUUUUAAAAAGGGUAUUUUAAGAGUCACAUAAGGCAAAUGUAGUUUGUGCCUGGCUUGAAUUUUUAUUCAAAUCAGUUAACUACAAGAAGGUAAAUUUGACAUAACCAGGGGAAAGAUUUAAAAAAACGACCAAAUAGUAGAUAAUAAAUUCUUGUUACUUUGCUUGUUUGUGAUAAUAUUAUUGUAAUUUUAUUUUUGAAAGUCCUUAUCUGUCAUAGAUUUUCAGCAAAUAUUUAUGAACAAAAUAAUAGCAUAGUGGAAUUUGGUUUAAAAUACUCCAUUCAAAAAACAAAGAGAAGUAAGAGAUGAAAUAAUAAUGUUGAUAAUUUUUGAAGCUGAAUGAUAGGGGCAUAGAUUUUUAUAAUUAUCUUUCUUUCUGAAUACGUGUAAAAACUUUAAGAAUAAAAGAUUAAUAUGAGUGUUUUUAAAAGUCCUCUAUCAGAAUUCUUAAAACAAGUAUUGAUGAAACCUUUAGAAAUGAACUAUGGGGAUGAAAUCAACCUAAUGAGACAUUGUCAAUAAAUCACAACAUAACAAUCCUAGUCUGAUGAAUUCACAUACUGUGAAAGUGCACGUAAUCCAGUUGGAAUAACAUGCCUUGGUUCACAAGGCAAUGGGAUGACUAAAGGACAUGGUGUUAGUCAAAGUGAAGUAAUAGUUUAUUCACAAGCCACACAAGUUGGAAAUUGUGAUGAGAAAGACUGUUGAAUCCAAAUAUAGAAGCCAUACUGCCACAGGCAGUCUGCCCCUAUACUAGAGGUAAAAAAUAAAAAAAGAAUGGCACUACAAAGCCAUCUGCUUGGGCCCCAAGCUGUUUACCUGGUGGUUUACAAUGCUUGUCAGAAAAGCAUUCAGAUAUUCUCACACUGACAAGAGGGUCAGGCUACCCACCUGCUGCCAGUGACCCCAGCGUCAUUUGUUUUCUGCAGCUGAUUUUCUGGCUCAUGUCAUCUUGAACUCAGAAAAUUCAGCUGUCCAUUCUUUGUCUCAGCUAGUUAGUCCCUCUGGGAGGCAUUUCCUCUUCUGUGUCUCAAGUCCAACUCGGUGUCUUUGCCAAUUCAGCACUGACACUUUUAAAAAAAUGUAGAUUUGCAUGUUAUUCAUAAAUAAUCUAUCCAAGUUGUAUACUGUGUUUACUGAUCUGCAUCAGUAUUCUCCUAACAUCAGUCUGUCUUCAAAGAGUGGACACAGAUUAUGGCUGCAUAAGAUUUUAUUGUUGUUACUAUGGUUGUUAUUGUUUUUGUUUGUUUCAGGAUGGGAUGAGCCCUGCUAAAUAUUGUCCAAGAUAAUGUUGCAUUACAUUUAAAUCCAUACUUUACUAUGUUUUAUUAAAUAUCUUUAGUUUUAUUUAACUAUAAAAUUGCAUUGAGUACCUCAUACAUGCCAAACUUGGUAUUAAGGAAUAUAAAGAUCAUUAGGAAUUCAUGUCUCUCUUGAGAGGCUUGAUUCUAGUGUUAGGUUGAUUGUGGCAACACAGUGGGCAACAACCAGGUAAAAAAUUACUAUGGAAUAUAAGUACAUAGUAUAAUGGUGCAAAUGAUAUAUGAAUAAUUAAGUGACACUUAAAAGUAUUAGGUAUAAUUCAAUCCCAUCAGGCAGGACUAAUAUGUGAGGAGAAUAAAUGUCCUACAAUUUUAAAAGGCUUAUGUUAUUAUCAUAAAUAUAUUUGAUUAAAAAGUUACACCUCACUGUACAAUAUGGUAGCCACUGUCCAUGUAUGGCUAUCUCAAUUUAAACAAUUGAAAUUACACAAAAUGAAAAGGCCAGUUUCUCAACAGUACCAGUCACCUUUGAAGUGCUCAAUAGUUACUUGUGUCUAGUAGCUACUACAUUGGAUAGCAAAGGUCAUUUCUACCAUUGUAGAAAGUUCCAUUGGAUAGUGUUAAUUUUCAGUGACAGGGUCUAUAGUAAUCCCUUUAGAUAUUAAUAUGCACCAUGAAGAUUAAAUAUAAGCCUGGGUAUCUUGUUUAAAUAUUCAUUCUGAUUCAGAAGGCCUAGAGUAGGGUUUGAGAUUCUGCAUUUCUAAUAAAUUCCUGGGUGAUGCUGAAAUUGUUGACCUGUAAAUUAUACUCUGAGUAGCAAAGUUCCAUACAAUCCUGUUCACGCUAAAAAAACAGGUAAUAUGCAAAGGGACAUGCCUCCCCAAUUUGCUCUGGAGGAAUACUUCUCUUAAUUGAAUUAUGGGAAAGUUUAGUAAUUACCAUUGCUUUCAUAGAAAGAGUUUUAUUUUUUCUUUUUGAUAGUAUGUUCUAUAAUUCAUGACAUAAAUCAUUAUAUCCAUAAUAAUGUCUCAAAGUCCCAACAUUUAAAAAAUUUUAGUCCUGAAACAUAAAGUGAAACAAAUCUAUCUGUGCCUUAUGAACAAUCCAUACUCUUUCCCAUAACAUUCUGGCCAUUCAUGAAUUUAUAGAAAACUGUAAUAUCUUAACUUAUUUUUAGAUACAUUAAAUUUAAAGUCAUUCAUUCUUUAAAAAUGAUUCUAAUGUAUUUAACUAAUUUUCUAAUAAUGCCACAUGCAGUUUUCUCCUUUGAUUACUUCAUUUUCAAAACUUAGCUUUUCUCAACAUCAUUUUUUUCUAGUUAUUAGAACUGUAAAGGAGCUCACAAGAAAAAAAAACUAAUUUCAACUUAAAUAGAAAACUCAUGCUGGUUCCAAAAAUAGUGCCGUUAUUAUUAUUUAGGAGGGAUAGAAAAAUGAUACCAACAUGAUGUAUGCUACUUCUGUUCCGGCUCCUGUUUCUUGUCUCAUUAAAUUCAGCCAGGACCUACCAUCUCAAUGUCGGUUCAAAACAUUUAUUUUCCCAAAACAGAUCAGGCAGAAUGUCAGUUUUUUGUUCAGUAUGUCAGUUCUGACAUGGUUAUCUGGAAAGCUCCUAAUUGCAUUUUCAUGUUGCACCUUGCUUAUCACCGCAGCCUCCAAGCCAUACAACACACACACACACACACACACACACACACACACUAUAUAACCAAAGUAAAACAAAACAAAACAAAAUGGACUCUAAAUAUUCCUUUUUUUUUCCUUUGAAAAUAAGUAGCCAUUAACUCUAUUAAACUUCAAUUAAACUUUCUUGGAGAGACUCUCCAGUUUCCUUAAAUUGUGCUAUAAUGACCUGACAGUAUUAAUUUGAAUGACUCAUACAAUAAUACAUGCCCAAAGAAAAAUAGUUUUACUAAACAUAUAUUCCUAGGGAGCUUCUAGAAUGAUGUUAUGUGUUCACCAUCCCUACUGGAAUUAUGCAGAUUAAAAGUUAACGAAGUGGAGGUCUAGGUUACUACUAAGAUACAGAAAGAAUCUUUUAGUUACAUUUUUCAAAUAGUUGACUACUUGAAAUCUUUCUGAUCCUUUGAUUUAUGGAUUUGGAUACAAUAUACAAUACUACAAAAAGAAAAGAGUGAAUAUUCAGGGGAUAGACAUUUAUGAUUAUACUGAAAAACUUAGCAUUAACCCUUAGUGAGAAAAGAGUUGCUCUAAGUUGUAUGGGAAAGCAUUGCUGCUCUUUGUUUUUCUUACCAAUUAAACUUUAAAAUAGUCUUCUCUUUGGUUGUUUUAGAUAUCCAGUUAAAAGAAGCUCGUAAACCAACUUCCUACAGUUAUAUUUAUUCCACUGAAAUCAUGCACAAAAAGUUUCAUUUCAUUUAUUUCUUACUUUACUCAAGGGACACAGGGCAUCUUUGAAAAUAAGAAUGAUAUUUUAGUCAACCUUUUGCUAUUGUGAUUUAAAAAAAAACCUGACAAGAACAAUUUUAGAGGGGAAAAAUUUAUUUUGGGUUCACACUUUUAAAUGUCUCAGUCUAUAGAUGGUGACCAUGUUGCUCUAGGCCUGAGAUGACACAGAAUAUUAUAGCAGAAGGGUGUGGAGAAUAGCAGCUCAGAACAUAAGAAUCAGGAAGCAGAGAGAAACGACUGCUCACCAGAAACAAAAUAUAAACUCCAGAGGCAGAGCCUCCAAGACCCAGCUCUUCCAGCCACAUCCUACCUGCCUACUCUAUCACCCAGUUAAUCCAUUCAAGUGGAUUAACACACCCACUAAGUUGAAGAUAUCAUAAUCCAAUGCUUUCACAUCUCAACCCUUUUGCAUUGUCUCACAUGAGUUUUGGGGGGACACCCUCAUAUCUAAACCAUAAUAAAUGAAGAAGAAUGAAUAGAAACAAUGCAUAAAUAAAAAUAGAGGACAGACAUAAUGGGAAAGGAGCAAGGUGUGUUUCCUUUGCUGUGCAAAGACUGUUUAAUUUGAUGUUAUCCCAAUUCUUCAUUUCUGUUUUUGUUGCCUGUGCUUUGGGCGUUAUAUCUAAAAAAAUCUUUACCCAGACCAAAGUCAAAAAAUUUACCCUAUAAUUUCUUUUAGUAGCUCUUACAGUUUCAAGUCUUAUAGUCAAAUCUUUAAUAAAUUUUGAGCUAAUUGUUUACGAUGGUGUGAGACAAAAAUCCAAUAUCAUUCUACUGCAUGUGGAUAUAGUGUUUUCCCAACAUCAUUUAUUGAAAAGACUAUACUCUCCUCUUUUUAUGUUUUUGACACUCCUUUCAAUGACCAACUAACCAUAAACUUUUGGAUUUAUUUCUGGGUUCUGGAUUCUGUUCCAUUGGUUUAUAUAUCUGUGCUUAUGCCAGUACCAUGCCAUUUAGUUUUUUAUUGCAUAAUAGUUAUACAUAAUGUUGGGGUUCCUUUAGACUUAACUAUGCAGUAUGAAUUUGUUCCAAUUCAGUACCCAGUACUUCUCCAAAUUUCACUCUACUACCCCUCCUCCUGUUCCUUUCCUUUACUGAUCUUUCUUAUACUUACUUAUAACUUUUUAGAAUUAGUGUAUUGUGGACAUACAUAAAGUUGAAAUCCACUAGGGUAUACAUCUAUGUACAUUGGAAAGUUACGUCAGAUUCAUUCUGUUUUUCCUUCCUUUACUUGUCUAUCCUCUCUCCCUUUUAAACUCCUCCCUCUACUCCACUGAUCUCUCUUCAAUUUCAUGGGAUUCCCCCAAACUUUUUUUUUUUUUGUAUAGCUUCCACAUAUGAGAAAAAAAAUUCAACCCUUGAUUUUCUGGGUCUGAUUUACUUCAUGGAGGGAAGGUUCUAAGUAUAGGAAAGAAAGUCUAAAUUUAAAUUCAUUUACUUGACACAUUUUCCUUGUCUGAAUAUGGAGAUUAACCUCUUUCUUUGUUUUUCUUUCUGUAUUUUCUUUGGUCUUGAAUAUAUGAAAAGUUAUUCAAUUGAGACUCUUGUGUUAUUAUUUUGACUCCUUAAGCAGUCUCAUUCUUUAGUCUUGGUUUUUGUGUGGAAUUUCCCAAUUCUGUAUUUAGUGAUAUAAAACAGACUCUUAAAAAACCUUCCGGGUGGUGUAUUCAAAUAUCCAUAUUUUUAGAUGACUACAGCAAGGACAGCAUCAUCUUUACUUAUUCAGUAAACAAAAAUUAGGAGUUAAAUUAGAAAUUAGAGGGAUUUCACAGUUGAAAGUCUUUGUGACAGUUUUAAGAUAGUGGCUAGAAAUUACUUAGAAGUUAAGUGUUUAGCUAUAUCACAUACCCUUUCAGAAACAAAAUUAGCUUUAAUGAAAUGUGACCAAAAAUGUACUAAAACAGGUAUAAAUUUAUUGUAUCAGAAAAAAUAUUAUAAAAUAUAACUGGUAUAUUUACAUUCCUAUCUAAAAUUAUUUUUUUCAGUUACAUAAGUCCAAUGCAGACAUCACCAGAAAUGAAAGGAAAACAAAGAAGAAGAAUCAGGAAGCAGAGAGAAACCACUGCUCACCAGAAACAAAAUAUAAACUCCAGAAUGCCAUGUUUUAUAAUCACCAUUAAACAAGCUUAUUAACAUGGCUGAUCUUUUCACUUGAGUAUCAUUAUGUAAAUGAUCUCAAGAUUCAUAAAUGGAAUAACAGUAAUAAUAGUGAUGAUGAUGAUACAAUUUUAAAAGUUACAAUCUGAGUUUCUGUAUCAUUUGCUGUAACAUUUAAGAUUAGUGGUGUCCUAUCUACAUCAGUGGAAAUCCCCAUCUUCUUGUUUCUCCCUGUGAAUUGUACUACAUUGUUUGUUUGUUUGUUUUGUUUUGUUUUGACAACUCUAAGCUGCACUCAGUAUCUUUGUCAAAGCUGGUGUUCACAUACUAUUCUAUAAGAGUCAUUAUCUGAAUUCAGGGCUGGUGCUGGGCAAAUUUGAGGCAAGUUAUAUUCCAUGGAUAUAUACCAACUGGGCCAACCUUAUCUAAAAAAGUAAUAAAGGUACAUAUAAACAUUAAGGAAAAGAAGAAUCAUGAAUCUUGCAAUAAAUUCCUUAUUUUAUUGGUAUGGAAUAUUAAGAAUCAGGUACAAGAUCACAGCAAAUUAGGAGCAGAAAAGGAAUUAGAGUGCGGUGCUCAUAAAGGUCCAUUACUUUGAUGGAAGAGGUUGUUGUUUAACCCUUACUCUGGCCCACACAGUGACUGCUUGUCCCAUGCUCCAUUCUACAUUUAUUUUCUCAGUGAUCUAUUCCAAAUUAUCUGUUGAAGAUAUAAUUGAGCUGAUGUAAUUCUGGGUCCUUAGUAGGUCUGAGAGGUUUCUAGACAGCUGCAGGCACAGGAGGCUGACCAUUUUAAAGUACAAUAGAACACACUCAGAAACAAUGUAAGAAAGAUGUAGUGGACCUCUCAAAUCUAUACAUUUCUGAUCCCCACCUGUCCAUUGUUCUUUUCAGUGAUCCCUGGAGUGAAAUACUUUUAUAAACUUUAUGAUAUUUCUGACUGGAAUCAUGUUUUUCUUUGCUUCAAACUUCAUCUCUCCAAGUCUAUUAACAGUUAUUUAUGCUACAGUGCCCAUAUAUCCUUCAUCAUUCUCAUUCUGUUGUUUUUCUGGAUGUGUCCUAUUAUUAAUGUUGAAACUCAAGUAUAAUUUAAUUUUACAAAGGAAUAAUAAUAAUAAUAGUAAUUACAUACACUCUGCAAGCAACUUACUUAUGACAAUUUGCAUGAGAAAAAGUAUCCCAUACAAUCUGCACUAGAAGAUGCUGAGCAGAAAUUUUGAUGACCCUAUUUCUAAUUCUGUCAAUUUAUUUCUACAAACACAUGGUAAUUGAUUAUUUAUAAGAUUUGGAGUAUAAUUUGUUUAAAAUAUAGUUUUGAGAUGUUGAUGGAUCUUUAUUUUAUUCAUUUAUUUAAAUGCAGUGCUGAGAAUUGAAUUCAGGGCCUCACACAUGCUAUGCAAGUGCUCUACCAACUGAGCCACAACUUCAGGCCCUUGGAGUAGAAUUUUUUUUUUUUUUCCUGCUCAAAGACAAACUAAUCCUGAUGACUACUUUAUACUGUUUGUUUUCUGUAUACAUCACUUAGUAGCCUGAACUCUAUGGCACACAUUAAUGAACAGUUUAAGCUUUGUUGGGAUAUUUGAAGGGGGGAAAUAAUCAGUAUAUGGUGGUAACCUAUAAGCUAAAAUGAAGAAAAUGGAAAUAACUACUAUACUCAUAUAAGAGGUAGAAGGAUAUGAAUUCUACCACC
rnacentral:lncRNA from 1 species